GGACCCGCUUCCAGAACCAUGAACACAGUUACCAGGUAAAUACUGGACCUGCUUCCAGAACCAUGAACACAGCUACCAGGUAAAUACUGGACCUGCUUCCAGAACCAUGAACACAGCUACCAGGUAAAUACUGGACCUGCUUCCAGAACCAUGAACACAGCUACCAGGUAAGAACUGGACCUGCUUCCAGAAACAUGAACACAGCUACCAGGUAAGAGCUGGACCUGCUUCCAGAACCAUGAACACAGCUACCAGGUAAAUACUGGACCUGCUUCC